UACGAAGGGGGCUAGCGUUGUUCGGAAUUACUGGGCGUAAAGGGCGCGUAGGCGGCCUUGAUAGUUGGGCGUGAAAGGCCUGGGCUCAACCCCAGGAACUGCGUUCAAUACUGUAAGGCUAGAGUGUGGGAGAGGUUGGUGGAAUUCCCAGUGUAGAGGUGAAAUUCGUAGAUAUUGGGAAGAACACCGGUGGCGAAGGCGGCCAACUGGACCACAACUGACGCUGAGGCGCGAAAGCGUGGGGAGCAAACAGG
rnacentral:rRNA from 1 species